rnacentral:rRNA from 1 species
GUUUGAUCCUGGCUCAGGAUGAACGCUGGCGGCGUGCCUAAUACAUGCAAGUCGAGCGAACCACUUCGGUGGUGAGCGGCGAACGGGUGAGUAACACGUAGGUGAUCUGCCCAUCAGACGGGGACAACGAUUGGAAACGAUCGCUAAUACCGGAUAGGACGAAAGUUUAAAGGUGCUUCUGGCACCGCUGAUGGAUGAGCCUGCGGCGCAUUAGCUAGUUGGUAGGGUAAAGGCCUACCAAGGCGACGAUGCGUAGCCGACCUGAGAGGGUGAACGGCCACACUGGGACUGAGACACGGCCCAGACUCCUACGGGAGGCAGCAGUAGGGAAUCUUCGGCAAUGGGCGAAAGCCUGACCGAGCAACGCCGCGUGAAUGAUGAAGGCCUUCGGGUUGUAAAAUUCUGUUAUAAGGGAAGAACGACUUUAGUAGGAAAUGGCUAGAGUGUGACGGUACCUUAUGAGAAAGCCACGGCUAACUACGUGCCAGCAGCCGCGGUAAUACGUAGGUGGCGAGCGUUAUCCGGAAUUAUUGGGCGUAAAGAGCGCGCAGGUGGUUGAUUAAGUCUGAUGUGAAAGCCCACGGCUUAACCGUGGAGGGUCAUUGGAAACUGGUCGACUUGAGUGCAGAAGAGGGAAGUGGAAUUCCAUGUGUAGCGGUGAAAUGCGUAGAGAUAUGGAGGAACACCAGUGGCGAAGGCGGCUUCCUGGUCUGUAACUGACACUGAGGCGCGAAAGCGUGGGGAGCAAACAGGAUUAGAUACCCUGGUAGUCCACGCCGUAAACGAUGAGUGCUAGGUGU